AGAGUUUGAUCCUGGCUCAGGAUGAACGCUAGCGGCAGGCUUAACACAUGCAAGUCGAGGGGUAACAGGGAGCUUGCUCUGCUGACGGCCGGCGCACGGGUGCGUAACGCGUAUGCAACCUACCUUCUACAGGGGGAUAGUCAAUAGAAAUGUUGAAUAAUACCCCAUACGAUCUUUGAAUAGCAUUAUUUAAAGAAGAAAGCUCCGGCGGUAGAAGAUGGGCAUGCGUCCUAUUAGUUAGUUGGUAAGGUAACGGCUUACCAAGACUUCGAUAGGUAGGGGUCCUGAGAGGGAGACCCCCCACACUGGUACUGAGACACGGACCAGACUCCUACGGGAGGCAGCAGUGAGGAAUAUUGGACAAUGGAGGCAACUCUGAUCCAGCCAUGCCGCGUGCAGGAAGACUGCCCUAUGGGUUGUAAACUGCUUUUAUACAGGAAGAAACCUACUUACGUGUAAGUAGCUGACGGUACUGUAAGAAUAAGGAUCGGCUAACUCCGUGCCAGCAGCCGCGGUAAUACGGAGGAUCCAAGCGUUAUCCGGAAUCAUUGGGUUUAAAGGGUCCGUAGGCGGUCUUUUAAGUCAGAGGUGAAAUCCUACAGCUCAACUGUAGAAUUGCCUUUGAUACUGAAAGACUUGAGUUAUUGUGAAGUAGUUAGAAUGUGUGGUGUAGCGGUGAAAUGCAUAGAGAUCACACAGAAUACCGAUUGCGAAGGCAGAUUACUAACAAUAUACUGACGCUGAGGGACGAAAGCGUGGGUAGCGAACAGGAUUAGAUACCCUGGUAGUCCACGCCGUAAACGAUGGAUACUAGCUGUUCGACCAACAUUGGUUGGUUGAGUGGCUAAGCGAAAGUGAUAAGUAUCCCACCUGGGGAGUACGGUCGCAAGACUGAAACUCAAAGGAAUUGACGGGGGCCCGCACAAGCGGUGGAGCAUGUGGUUUAAUUCGAUGAUACGCGAGGAACCUUACCAGGGCUUAAAUGUAAGUUGCAUGAUUUAGAGAUAGAUCUUUCUUCGGACUACUUACAAGGUGCUGCAUGGUUGUCGUCAGCUCGUGCCGUGAGGUGUCAGGUUAAGUCCUAUAACGAGCGCAACCCCUAUCGUUAGUUGCCAGCAAGUUGUGUUGGGUACUCUAGCGAGACUGCCGGUGCAAACCGAGAGGAAGGUGGGGAUGACGUCAAAUCAUCACGGCCCUUACGUCCUGGGCUACACACGUGCUACAAUGGUCGGUACAGAGAGCAGCCACUACGCGAGUAGGAGCGAAUCUAUAAAACCGAUCUCAGUUCGGAUCGCAGUCUGCAACUCGACUGCGUGAAGCUGGAAUCGCUAGUAAUCGGAUAUCAGCCAUGAUCCGGUGAAUACGUUCCCGGGCCUUGUACACACCGCCCGUCAAGCCAUGGAAGCUGGGAGUACCUGAAGUCGGUUACCGCAAGGAGCUGCCUAGGGUAAAACUGGUAACUGGGGCUAAGUCGUAACAAGGUAGCCGUACCGGAAGGUGCGGCUG
rnacentral:rRNA from 1 species